ACAUACGACCAUAUCUACAAGACAAAUACGGGGUCUCGUCCGCUCCCCCAGAGUCAAGCUUGCGAGAGGCAGAUUAGUAGCUGGUUCGGUGACGACCAGCGAAUACCGGCUGUUGUAUGUA
rnacentral:rRNA from 1 species